UACGUAGGGUGCAAGCGUUGUCCGGAAUUAUUGGGCGUAAAGAGCUCGUAGGCGGUCUGUCGCGUCUGCUGUGAAAACUCGGGGCUUAACCCCGGGCCUGCAGUGGGUACGGGCAGACUAGAGUGCUGUAGGGGAGACUGGAAUUCCUGGUGUAGCGGUGAAAUGCGCAGAUAUCAGGAGGAACACCGGUGGCGAAGGCGGGUCUCUGGGCAGUAACUGACGCUGAGGAGCGAAAGCGUGGGGAGCGAACAGG
rnacentral:rRNA from 1 species